rnacentral:rRNA from 1 species
UACGGGGGGGGCAAGCGUUGUUCGGAAUUACUGGGCGUAAAGGGCUCGUAGGCGGCCAACUAAGUCGGACGUGAAAUCCCCAGGCUCAACCUGGGAACUGCGUCCGAUACUGGAUGGCUUGAAUCCGGGAGAGGGAUGCAGAAUUCCAGGUGUAGCGGUGAAAUGCGUAGAGAUCAGGAGGAACACCCGUGGCGAAGGCGGCGCCCUGGUCCGUUUCUGACGCUGAGACGCGAAAGCGCGGGGAGCGAACGGG